UACGUAGGGGGCUAGCGUUGUCCGGAUUUAUUGGGCGUAAAGAGCGUGUAGGCGGCCUGGCAAGUGACGGGUGAAAUCCCUCGGCUUAACCGAGGAACUGCCUGUCAUACUGCUGGGCUUGAGUCCGGGAGAGGAGAGUGGAAUUCCUGGUGUAGCGGUGAAAUGCGCAGAUAUCAGGAAGAACACCUAUGGCGAAGGCAGCUCUCUGGGACGGUACUGGACGCUGAGACGCGAAAGCGUGGGGAGCGAACAGG
rnacentral:rRNA from 1 species